GAUGAAGAACGUAGCGAAAUGCGAUAAGUAAUGUGAAUUGCAGAAUUCAGUGAAUCAUCGAAUCUUUGAACGCACAUUGCGCCCGCCAGUAUUCUGGCGGGCAUGCCUGUUCGAGCGUCAUUUCAACCCUCAGGUCCCCCUUUUUGGAGGGGGAGACACCCUGGUGUUGGGGGACGGCAUCCUGGCCCGCUGUCUCACAGUGUGCCACGCCGCCCCCGAAAUGAAUUGGCGGCCUCGUCGCGUGCCACCCCUGCGUAGUAGCACAACCUCGCAACGGGAGCCCGACGCGGCCACUGCCGUAAAACGCCCAACUUUUACCGAGUUGACCUCGAAUCAGGUAGGAAUACCCGCUGAACUUAAGCAUAUCAAUAAGCGGAGA
rnacentral:misc_RNA from 1 species